AAUAAGACUAGUAAUUCACUGUAAAAAAAAUAGAGACAAUAAUUAUACAGAAAAAUAAAAGCAAAACCCAAAAGAAUUAGAGUGAAAAAAUACAGAGAAAACAAUCAACCAAAAAUUGUUUUCCCUUGUCUCCAUUAACUGCAGACCUCCCAUCCCACAACCAUCACCAUAAUCGCCAAUUCGACCCAUCAUUCUCUUAACCAUUACCUAAUCCACCAGUGUCUAGGCACCGAUCUUUAUUGCAUUCCAACACUGUCAUUCCUAAACCCAACAUUAAUUGAAAAGCCAAGAUACCAUAUAUACAAGCAACAACUUCUUUGAAACCAUCACACAGAAUGCCAUACCACCAUAAAAUUUCCAUAAACCAGUCAACCACUGCCUACGCCAAAGCCACGAACCUCUCUCAUCACUACCUCCAUCAUUGCCAACAACCUACAAUACAUACCCCAAAGCCAGUUUCAAGCAUAACUCUAAGCAUAAAACCAGUCAAAUUCUUUACCUCAAGUUAAAUCUCAAUUCCAAACACAAUCCCAAUUAACCCAAAUACAGAUUCCAACCUUAAUUUUUCAUUAACCAAAUUCGCGUAGCUUAGACUUUACUGAACCCAAACCCAGUAACAAACUCAACCAAACCUAUAGCACACAGCAUAAUAGCCACAUAGAAAAUCAUCUUACAUAGAAAUACAAGAGUAGAAAAUUCUAACAAAAACCACCAUUCACCAUCGCAAUCAAAACCAGUUAGGUUGCCUUAAACCAACUCUACCACCACUUCCAAUAGUUGGAUCUUGCUUCUUUUCACCACUAUCACUAUUAGCUCACUAUCAAUAAGCCCUACCAACAAGAAGAAAUAAAUUGAAGUCAGAAACUAAAGAAAAUUAGAAACAAAAAUGAGAUGAACAAAGGUAAAAAAUAAGAGAUUUUUUUUUUUGUUUCGGUUUGACACAUUUUAGGAUAAUUUGAGUCCUGAAAAUCGAUGAAAAAAUCAAUGAAAAGAGAGUUAAGAACUAGGAGAAUACCAUACCUUGAAGCCACAACUGUUGGAGCAGUGAUAAUGUAGGUUCUGGGAAGGGAAAACAGUGACAUUAAUUCCAAAUCCAUGCAAAUCUAGUGAGUUUUUGGAGAAUCUGAGUCUGGAUCUGAGACAAGAAGAUCAAGAUGAGCCACUGGGUGAAAUUUAGGCCUUAAAAGUAGUUGACCUACAAUGAAAAGCAGUGGCAACGAUACUGGGAUAUAGAAAUCCUUGAAGUUUUUAGCCUAAGUUCAUCCUAUAUAGAUAGAGAAGAGGGAAGUCCACUUUCAGAAAGAGAAACAAAACUGAAAAAUAGAAGAAAAAGCUUGGAAAAGGCUUUUCAUAUUGUAAAGGAAAUGGCAUAGUUUUAGGAAAGAAAAC
rnacentral:lncRNA from 1 species